rnacentral:rRNA from 1 species
UAUACAUGCAGUCGUACGCUUCUUUUUCCACCGGAGCUUGCUCCACCGGAAAAAGAAGAGUGGCGAACGGGUGAGUAACACGUGGGUAACCUGCCCAUCAGAAGGGGAUAACACUUGGAAACAGGUGCUAAUACCGUAUAACAAUCGAAACCGCAUGGUUUUGAUUUGAAAGGCGCUUUCGGGUGUCGCUGAUGGAUGGACCCGCGGUGCAUUAGCUAGUUGGUGAGGUAACGGCUCACCAAGGCCACGAUGCAUAGCCGACCUGAGAGGGUGAUCGGCCACAUUGGGACUGAGACACGGCCCAAACUCCUACGGGAGGCAGCAGUAGGGAAUCUUCGGCAAUGGACGAAAGUCUGACCGAGCAACGCCGCGUGAGUGAAGAAGGUUUUCGGAUCGUAAAACUCUGUUGUUAGAGAAGAACAAGGAUGAGAGUAACUGUUCAUCCCUUGACGGUAUCUAACCAGAAAGCCACGGCUAACUACGUGCCAGCAGCCGCGGUAAUACGUAGGUGGCAAGCGUUGUCCGGAUUUAUUGGGCGUAAAGCGAGCGCAGGCGGUUUCUUAAGUCUGAUGUGAAAGCCCCCGGCUCAACCGGGGAGGGUCAUUGGAAACUGGGAGACUUGAGUGCAGAAGAGGAGAGUGGAAUUCCAUGUGUAGCGGUGAAAUGCGUAGAUAUAUGGAGGAACACCAGUGGCGAAGGCGGCUCUCUGGUCUGUAACUGACGCUGAGGCUCGAAAGCGUGGGGAGCAAACAGGAUUAGAUACCCUGGUAGUCCACGCCGUAAACGAUGAGUGCUAAGUGUUGGAGGGUUUCCGCCCUUCAGUGCUGCAGCUAACGCAUUAAGCAC